CGGGGGGGGCAAGCGUUGUUCGGAAAUACUGGGCGUAAAGGGCUCGUAGGCGGCCAACUAAGUCAAACGUGAAAUCCCUCGGCUUAACCGGGGAACUGCGCUUGAUACUGGAUGGCUUGAGAUUGGGAGAGGGAUGCGGAAUUCCAGGUGUAGCGGUGAAAUGCGUAGAUAUCUGGAGGAACACCGGUGGCGAAGGCGGCAUCCUGGACCAACACUGACGCUGAGUGAGCGAAAGCCAGGGGAGCAAACGGGAUUAGAUACCCCGGUAGUCCUGGCCCUAAACGAUGAAUGCUUGGUGUGGCGGGUAUCGAUCCCUGCCGUGCCGAAGCUAACGCAUUAAGCAUUCCGCCUGGGGAGUACGGUCGCAAGGCUG
rnacentral:rRNA from 1 species